UUGGAUUGAGACAAUGUACAAAUGUUAUCGAUAAACAAUUGGAGGGCAAGUCUGGUGCCAGCAGCCGCGGUAAUUCCAGCUCCAAUAGCGUAUAUUAACGUUGUUGCAGUUAAAAAGCUCGUAGUUGAAUUGAAGUGAACUUGGGUUGAUGUGAUCUUCGGAUGACAUGAAUCAAAGUUGACUCUUUCCAAAGUCAAUACAUUGGUAUUCAUUUAUCUUUGUAUUGUGUUUGGUCAUUUACUGUGAGAAAAUUAGAGUGUUCAAAGCAGACGUUUGUUUGAAUACAUUAGCAUGGAAUAAUCAUAUAUGGCUUUCAUGUUGAUUUGAUUGGUUUGAAUAUGGAAGCAAGAUUAAAAGGGACAGUUGGGGGUAUUCAUAUUCAAUAGUCAGAGGUGAAAUUCUGGGAUUUAUGGAAGAUGAACAAGUGCGAAAGCAUUUACCAAGGAUGUUUUCAUUAAUCAAGAACGAAAGUUAGGGGAUCGAAGAGGAU
rnacentral:rRNA from 1 species